rnacentral:lncRNA from 1 species
AAAUACAAAUACCAACUAGUUCAGAUCCAAGGAAAUGGCAGCUAGUUCAGAUUCAAGGAAAAGCGUUCAAAGCAUAAAUCACAAACAAAUAAGCUAGCUAAAUAUGAUUGAAGGUCUGGACAUAUCCAGUUCCUCGUCAACCAAGGAGCACAGCCAAGUGCCCCAGAAUUACAGAAAGUUCAAUAUUAUUUGUAAAAGAAACAACUCCAACAUGGAGAUCAACCACAUGAACUACUAAUUAAACAAAAAAAAAUAAAAACAACUUACUGCCUUGACCAUAUCCUUCUAAUCAGUCAAACCCAAGGCUCUUUCUUAUCUCCAUAACCAACUCGUGGACCUUUCCAGGUUCUGCAAGAGACUUGGCUACACUAUCUUUUUGCAGGCACCUUUUAGCCCAUGCAAUGAUCUUGGGACAUUGAGCUUCUAUGCUGAAGUUUCCGAUGGUCUCAUAAGUAGAAAACCCGCAACAGAAAGGAAGAAAGGCAAUAUCCACAUACCCCAGAGUCUCACCCCCAAAAUAAGGCUUCUCUCCUAGUUCUCCCUCCAAUAACUCAAGGCAUUCAAAGAAACCCUUCUUUGCCGCCUCCAUUUCUUCUCCUUUUGUUGUCCAUAUCUUCCUAGAAAGAUCAUGUAUCUGAAGAUUCACAGCACUUCAUCACAAAAAUAAUAUAGCAGAACACAAAACCUAAGACGUGCACAAACAAUAUUGUCUUUAAGGAUAUUUACUUUCCUUAAAGAUAUUUACCCACAUAAAAUUAUUAUCCACCAGGAUUCAAUAGGUUCUUCCUCGAAAGGAGGGAUGCAAAAACAACAAGGCAAAUACCAACAAGAAAAUCCAGUAAGUUUAAGUGUUUUAAGUUAAGUGGUAUUUUGUGUUUUUCUAAUAUGAGAUAUAAAAAUAUUUUUACUUUAAAUACUUCAAUUUAAAAAAAAAAACCAAAUAUUUCUGAUAAAAAAUAAAAACAUUUUGAAAUAAUCUCUGAAAACGUUUUCCAAUAUAAAAUAAUUUUUUUUUAAAAUAACCUCUAAGAAUUCAUUUUUACAGCACAUAAUUGAUAUUACAGUAACAUAUAUCGCAGUAGCAAAGGAAUAUAUAUUUGUCCUCACGCAAGCAUAGAUACAUGUAUCGAAGGGGGACCAAAGAUUUAGCAAGAUUAAAGGUAUAUAUAUCCAUACCUUUUUAUCAAUAAAAUCAGCCCAGAACAUGGACUGAGCUCUUUCAUAAGGAUCAGAAGGUAGCAAAGGAGUCUUGCCCCUCCACACAUCAUCAAUAUACUGAACAAUAAUAAGGGACUCGCAAACUGGUUUUCCUCUGUGGACGAGAACUGGAAUCUUCUUGUAGACUGGGUUCAUCUGAAGAAGCAAUGCACUCUUGUCCCUCAAGUCCUGUUCACUGUACUCAUACUUGACUCCCUUCUCUGCCAAUGCUAUUUUAACUCUCAUGCCAAAAGGGCUUGCCCAAAAAUCCAGCAGUGUCACCUCAUCAGCCAUUGUUGUUGUGAAAAAGAGUAAAACUGAAUCACAGAUAGUUUUUUUCUCGCCUUUCAGAAUGGCUGUGCUCUUGAUAGUGGAAAGUAGAAAUCUUUAUAGCAUAUCUGUCUUUGCAGAAAGAUGUAGUGGCGGAAAUAAAUAAGUGGAAAAUGUGCUGUGCUAGUGCCCAGUGGGCAAUUGGAUACCAUAACGCAUUUUCAUGUUUGUUCCUUUCUAUGUCUUCAACUACAUCACACCAACCGGUCAAUGAUUCCUGAAAUCUUAGAGUUAAUUACCCUGACAAAAUGAGAUAAUUAUUCAUAAAUUUGAGAAAUUAUCACCGGAAUUCAUAUUAUAUACGAUCAAUAUAUAUUUUAUUAGGGGGAUUGUGUAGGGAAAAUAAAAUAUAUGAUAACGAGAGUAUUUCUUAAGUGAUAUUUUUUUUUUAUUAUUAUUCAAAGUAAGCAAUAAUCUUGCCAACAAACUUUUUCAGUUUUUGCCUGAAGAAAACUAAGGAUAGCUUUGGUAAUUUCAAGUCAAUUUAUAUACGAUUUGUUUUUGCCAUGGGUCCAUAUAUCAGUGUUAUGGGAAGCUCGAAUGUGUGGAAACCACCAAAUCUGGGCUCGAAACUUUUUAAAAAAAAACUUGCAAUCAUUUUCCUGUGAACAUCAAAUUAUUGUCAUUUUCUUGAGAAUUCACUAUUCACGUGUCAACAACCCUAUUCUUGUCUGACCUGAUAACUAGGAUUUUGCUGUGUUCAAGGUAUAAUGGCCAAGGAGUAGCUAUUUUGAGAUUUCUUUCAUGCUUAAAUUUAGAAAAUUAAGGAUGUAGUGGGAUUUAGGAGGAGGGACAUAGCACGUAUCUCCAUGUUGUGCAGGACCCAUCAAGCCCUUUCUGAUUUUGGUUGGGGUAUGCCUAUGAAGGUGGAGAUCGACUCCUUGCAUUAAUAAGACAGGAUCAAUCUCUAUGCAAUAUGGUUAUUGGUUUCAUCAAUGAUUAUCCGAAAAAAAUCUCUAUGCAGGAGAAGGCAGAUGGAAGGGGUGGAAUUGAGAUUGGCUUUGUUUUAUUAAAGCAGAAAAUGGAGAUCUUCAAUUCUCUAUUUGUCGAUGGUAGUACUCUUGUCUUGAACCAAGACCAGAUUGCUAGUGGAGAACAGCAGUAAGAGAACAGCAAAUGUAGGCAAAACAAAUAUUUAACAGUAGCUAUCAGAUUUCAAGCCCGUUCGGCUACGCAGUACUUCUGAGAUGCAAAUUGUGCUUAAUUCGCAUGAAAAAGCUUUAAAACUAAAAUAUUUGUUUUUUUUCACGCGAACCACAAUUUACACUGUGUAACAAAGCGAAGCCUAUGAUAAUCGUGUAGCAGUAUGAUAAUUGUGUCAGCUUAUUUUACCAUUUACGAAAGCCAAGAUGAUAGAUAUUCAUGACUUAAUUAUGAGCAACAGAUGUUAUCUACUAAUCUCUAAAUUAUAUUAUUUUCGAAAUAUUUAUUAUUUUGUGUUAAUUCAGUUUCGUAAUAAUUAAUAUUCACUUGAAUAGGAUAACAUUUGAGACUAAAUUGAAGACUUAUCAAAGAAUUGGGGACCAAAUAAAAACAAUUAUUUAAAAUCUAGGGAAAAAAUAUAUAUUUGACGGGUGUAAUGCUCGUGACAACGUAUACGGAAGUUGUGGCGUGAUGGUGGCGCAUGCAGCCUUCUUUGAGCUUUGAUGAUGCCAGAAUUUUCUUGUCAGGUCUUCCUUUCAGGAUAACACAUGUCACCCUUCAAGUCCUGACAUGGCUAGUAACCUUUCUUUCUUCCUCUCUUAUCUCCUUCCCUUCCUUUCCCUUCCCUGGUUUUCAAGCAACAACCGAAAUUAAAAAAAAAAAAAAAAACUUUGUGGAUUGUGGUAGGAAAAACCCGUGAGUUGUAGUCUAUUUUGUAUUGUAAUGUGAUUGAACUACUUAAAACUUGGUAUAAGAAAAUUAACUUGAGGAUAUAUAUAUAUAUUGAAUGGAGAGGAUUUGUGUGCGUUGAGUGCCCAAUCUAAUAAAUUCUCAAACCUUCCCUUUUCCGAGCAAAAAUUAGCACAUCAAAUACAAAUACGAACUAGUUCAGAUCCAAGGAAAUGGCAGCUAGUUCAGAUUCAAGGAAAAGCGUUCAAAGCAUACAUCACAAACAAAUAAGCUAGCUAAAUAUGAUUGAAGGUCUGGACAUAUCCAGUUCCUAGUCAACCAAGGAGCACAGCCAAGUGCCACAGAAUUACGUACAGAAAGUUCAAUAUUAUUCGUAAAAGAAACAACUCCAACAUGGAGACCAACCACAUGAACUACUUACUGCCUUGACCAUAUCCUUCUAAUCAAUCAAACCCAAGGCUCUUCCUCAUCUCCAAAACCAACUCGUGGAGCUUUCCAGGUUCUGCAAGAGACUUGGCUACACUCUCUUUUUGCAGGCACCUUUUAGCCCAUGCAAUGAUCUUGGGACAUUGAGCUUCUAUGCUGAAGUUUCCGAUGGUCUCAUAAGUAGAAAACCCGCAACAGAAUGGAAGAAAGGCAAUAUCACAUACCCCAGAGUCUCACCGGCCCCAAAAUAAGGCUUCUCUCCUAGUUCUCCCUCCAAUAUAUCACUCAAGGCAUUCAAAGAAACCCUUCUUUGCCGCCUCUAGUUCUUCUCCUUUUGUUGUCCAUAUCUCCCUCCAAUGUCCUUAAGGAUAUUUACUCACGUAAGGUUCCUUAAAGAUAUUUACCCACAUAAAAUUGUCCAUCAGGAUUCAAUAGCUAGGUUCUUCCUCGAAAGGAGGGAUGCAGAAACAGCUAGAAAAUUAAAUAAUAACAAGAAAAUCCAGCAAGUUUAAGUGUUUUAAGUCAGGUGAUAUUUUGUUUUGUCUUUAAAAAUACAGGUGUAUAUAUAUAUAAUGUUUUUAUCUUUAAAAAUGCAGGUGUAUAUAUAAACUUAUAGCCCAUAACAACAAAUUAAGAAGAAAAUAAAUAGAAAAAUUAAAAUAUGCAACAGCUAGCUAGCUAGAAAAUAAACGGUAGAAUAUAUAUAAUUAUAUUUUUUUAAUAUGAAAUAUAAAAAAAAUUUUACUUUAAAUACUUUAACUUUUUUAAAAAAAUUCAAUAUAAAAUAAAAAUAUUUUGAAAUAAUAUCUGAGAAUUCAUUUUUACAUCACAUAAUUGAUAUUACAGUAACAUAUAUAGCAGUAGCCAAGGAAUAUAUAUUUGUCCUCACGCAAGCAUAGAUACAUGUAUCGAAGGGAGGCCAAAGAUUUAGCAAGAUUAAAGGUAUAUGUCCAUACCUUUUUAUCAAUAAAAUCAGCCCAGAACAUGGACUGAGCUCUUUCAUGAGGAUCAGAAGGUAGCAAAGGAUCGAGCCUUGUCCCUCCACACAUCAUCAAUAUACUGAACAAUAAUAAGGGAUUCACACACUGGUUUUCCUCUGUGGACGAGAACUGGAAUCUUCUUGUAAACUGGAUUCAUCUGCAGAAGCAAAUCACUCUUUCCGUUCAUCAAGUCCUGUUCACUAUACUCAUACUUGACUUCCUUCUCAGCCAGUGCUAUUUUGACUCUCAUGCCAAAAGGGCUUGCCCAGAAAUUCAACAGUGUCACCUCAUCAGCCAUGGUUGAAGUGAAACAAAAUAUCACUAGAUCAUAAAUAGUAGAAAGCAAGACUUUAUAGCAGACUUGCUAUCUUCAUCUGCAGAGUGUAUGUGGUUGUGAUAAAUCGUGGAAAAAGUUGCUAAGCUAUAUGCUAAUCAAUGAUAAAGUAAGCAAAAAUUAUAUUUAGAAUAAUGUUUAUUCACGACCAAAAGUAUUCCACCCAGUUAUUAAGGCCGGUUUGUGUUUCUUUAAUAGAAAGUGAGUUUUUUAAAAUUAUUUUUAAAAUUUUUUUAUGUUUGUUUAUUAUUAGAAAAAUUAAUUAAUAAAAAAUAUUUUUCAGCUAAAUAAAAUUUAAUUUGGUUUUCAGAAAAGUAUUUUUUUAUUUAGAAAGAAUAUAUUUUUCAGAAGUUAUGAAAAAUUUAAAAAUAUCAUAUUAAUUAUUUGCUAAUUAUAUCAAAUUUGAUUCUCAAACUUUUGAUUGUUAUAUAUUUUGUUUUGAACUUUUUUUUUCAAUUUCAUCCCUUAAAAUUUGAUUUAAUUUGAUUUUUAUAUUAACUUUAAUCUUCAUAUUUAUGAUUGUUUUUUGCUUUUCUCUUAUUUUUUUUAAUUGAAAUUUUUUAUCUAUCAAAAUUGAUCCUUAUUCUUUUGAUUGUUAUAUUUAUUUAAUUUGAAAUAAUUUAUGAAAUUAUAAUUAUUAUUAUUUUAAUUUCAUCAUCUUUCAACUUUUUUAUCUGUUAGAUUUGAUUUCUAUUAUUUUGAUUGUUAUUUAUUUUAUUUGAGAUAAUUUAUGAAAUUAGAUUUUUUUUUUCAAUUUCAUUCUCAUUCAACCUUUUAAUUUAUAAGAUUUGUUACUCAGUAAACUUGAAAAAAAAAAAACAUUAAUAAGUUAUUUUUCAGCUUAUUUUCCAUGAUAUAACAAAACACUGGAAAGUGUUUUUCAACUUUUUUUCAUGACACUACCAAACAUCAAAAAAUAAUUCAUUUCCUAGAAAUUUACUUUUCAAAAAAACCAUUUUUUAAAAGAAAAUAUUUUCCAACAAACAAACAAGACUUAAAACCAAACUGAGUUUACCACCCAGAAGGUUAAAUUUCAAGUUAUAUGAGUUAACUCGUAAUAGUUUAAAAUAAUUUUUUUUUUAGUUUUAACAUCUUAUAUGAAAAAUUAAAAAAAUAAUUUAUAUAGAUAUAAACUAUAUAUAUUGUAAACUAUAAAAUUUUAAAAAUUAUUUUAAAAUACUUUUUAUUAGACAUUAAAAAUAUAAUAUAUUAAGAUUAUUUCAACCGUUGAAAGUAUUUAAAAAAAAAACUUAUCAACUUUUUCCUUUUGAACACACACACAGACAAAUACACACACACACACUUUUAAUAUCAUAUUAAAAAAAAUAAAAUAUUAUUUUAAUGUUUAUAUAUAGAGUAAACAAUAACGUGAAAUUACACUUUCUUUUAUGUUUAUUGUAUAAUAUAUAAUGUAUAAUGAAUAGAAGGCAUAUGGUAAAUUACAAUUCACUCCUUGAGAGGUGCCCGUUUUGUUAAUUAACAACCAGAACCUCAUAUUUCUUUUAUUUAUUUAUUUAAGCACAACUUAUAUAAUUAAAAUUUGAUUCAAUCAAGGAAAUACGAAACCAUCAAUUAAAUUUUAAUUAAAAAACAUUUGUAAUUAAAAUUAUUCAAAUUUUAGGAUUUUAAAUGAAAAUGACCCUAGAUCUUAAAAAUCAAUUGAAGAGGUUCCAAAACUUUGAUUUAAUGAUGGUUUUUUUAAAAAAAAAAAAACUAUCUUAAAGCAACGUCUAGUUGAUUUGGUAAUGAUGGUAAGAUAAAAUCAAGAAUAUAAUUCAAUACUCAAGAAGUAAUUAAAUACUAAUUUAACAUACUUAAUGUAAAUAAAAAAUUUAAUAUUUAAAAAAUAUAGGAUGAUCUUUAUUUUAAUUAUAACCACAUAUUUGAAUGUCUUGAUAAAAGAAUAUGAAGUUAUAUUUUUGUUAUUUUCUUGUUUGUUUUUAUAAUAAUAAUUGGAUUACAAGCCUUCUAUUUAAGUUGUUGUUGUGUGUUUUCUUUUUCGUUCGAUCUUUUUUAAAUAGAAAAAAUUGUAAUAAAUUGUCUGGUAACCACCCAUCUUCUUCAUUCCUUUUUAUUCCAAGGAUGUGUGACUUCAAGUGCUCUCUUUCAUUUCUUCACAUAUCAUAUCUGUUUCUUUUGACAACUCUGAGGUUUUUCUAUUAUGUAUUCUAAUCUUCCUUUUACUUAAUCAAACUUUGUUCUCCAUUGUGUAUUAUUAGUUCAACUUGUAACCAAAUCUUGUUUUUCUUAGGCCCUAUUUGUUUUUGUGAAAUUGCUUUUGAAAAAAAUUAAUUUUUUUUAUUUGCUUUAAAUUAAUGUUUUUUUAGUGUUUUCAAAUCAUUUUGAUGUGCUGAUAUCAAAAAUAAAUUUAAAAAAAAUAAAAAAAACAUUAUUUUAAUACAUUUUCGAAUGAAAAACAUUUUGAAAAUCAACCACACUCUAAUCUGGUUCAAAUUUAUCAAACAUUUGUCAAGUCUAGUCUUUUCUUAGGUCUGUAUUUCUUGUCUUUAGUAUAACAUCCAUGCAAUGAUGUUUCUUGGAUUAUCUCGUCAAACUCGUAAACUAAAUUAUGAGAUCAUGAUAACCUAAUAGAAAAAAAAUAAAUCACAAAGCUCAUUUUUCUUAAAGAAAAUAUUAACUUGCGUUGACUUUUCAAACCUAUGACCUGGGUAUUAGAUUGAAAGCACCAUAACUGGUAAAAACCAUGAAAUUUAAUUCUCAACCAAUCAAAUUAUGAAUGAUAAAAUUCAAAAAUAUAAUUUUAAUUAUACAAAAGAAUUAAAAAAAUAGCAAUUAAAAAAACAAGGAUCGAAUUGAAACACAAUAAAUUUUAUUAAAGGAUGAAAUUGAAAACAAAUCAAUUUUUUUUUUAAAAAAGACCAAGAAUAAAAAUUAAAAAUCAAAAGAAUGAGGAUUGAAGUGGAAAUCCUCAUAAAUUGGAGGACAACUCUAAAACUUUGCAUGAUUGUCGUAAACUUUGACCAAAAAAGAGAGAAAAGAGAGAGAAAAAAAAUUACUUAUGACAAACUAUGCCACCAAUAACAAUAUGCGCCGCUCAAGAAAAAAAAAGGACACGACGACAGUUCUAAUGAUACGGUCUAUAGUGUUGUUUUUUUUUUUUUUGGUUUCUUGUUUUAGCUUUUGGUGAUUUAAAAAUAAAUCUAAGUUACUAAAUUAUUAGAUUAAUUUUGUAAUCAUUAAAUUAACCCCUUUUUUUCAGUGUAUUUAAAACCCAAUAUAAAUUAAGUUUCGGUUUCUUAAAUUAAGCUAUUGCACCGGAUUUAAUAACAAUCAAAUGGAUAGGUAUAAUUAAUGUUUGCCAAAGAUCAACGUGGUGGAUUGAUUGACACUCGUUGAUUGAGCGGCUUCUGGGUUGCCACGCACUACAAUAUUGUUGAUUCUUUUUCUUCGAGCUGUCUAUGGUUGUAGCGUUGGGGAUGGUAUGUUAGGGACAUUUAUCAACUUUUCUUGACAGGGAAGACUGCGUUUUAAAAUUAUUUUUUUUAAAAUUAAUAUAUUUUUUAUGUUUUUAAAUUAAUUUAAUGUGCUGAUAUCAAAAAUAAAAAAAUAUUAUUAACAUACUUUUAUGAGUGAAAAACAAUCACAACCACAUUUUCAAACACGUUAAUAUAAUGAAAUUAAUGAAUAUCUAUAUGGAAUUGAUGGAUAUUUUAUGGAUUUAAUAAAUAAUAAAUAAAAUAUUAAUAUUAUAAAAUUCAAUUCAAAAUUCCUCAAAACUUAAUCCAAAUCAUAUAUUUAUAUUAUAUAAACACUUUAAUAUAGAUAUAUAUAUAAUAUUUAUCAUUUUAUUAUUUAAUAUAGGUAUACACACUUCAAUAUAUAUAAUAACUAUUUUGUUUUUUAUUGAUCAGUAAAUAAUAAUAGAUAAUAAAUACUUAUUAAAUACCUCAAACUUGAUAAAUAAUUUAUAGAUAUUUAAAUUUUUUAUAUGAUGAAUAAUAAAUAAAAUAUAAAUAUCAAGAAUUUCAACUGGGGUACCCAUUGACAACCCUAGUUAUUGACUGUAGAUUUUAUGGGAUCGGUUCCUUCAAUGAAUAAAAAGUUUGCAAUUAUGCAAAAGAAGAGAGCGUUACUAUUUUAUAAAAAUCUCUCUGGCUAUGGAAUUAUACUUUAUAUUCUUUACUCAAGCUUUAAUGAUGAUGAUGAGUCACAGCCUGCAGCUCCUUUCCAGGAUGAUCAGUGAUCUCAUGCAUGCAGCUUGGAGAAAAAGAAUAAAUGUUGCAGAAAGUUGUUCACUGCCAACCAGAUCUUGACACAAGUUUCAUUAAUACAUAUGUAUUUAUAUCAUAACCACCGACUUGAAGUUCUACUUUACAGGGAGAAAACCACAUCCUAAGUCGGGCACGGCGAGGUGCCCUCUCGGACUAUAAGCACAAGGCAGGCACAGCUAAGUGCCCUCUCAGACUAGAAACACAAGGCAGGCACACCUGUCUGCCCUCCUUAUUUAAAACAUAAAUCACUCAGAACACAAGUAAAACUUCUUAACAGGAAAUGGCACAUGCCUGAUCUGCAUGUUGUUCUUUCUUCUACUCAAUACCAAACUUCUUCAUCAGCAUCAGAACGAAAUCAUAGACCUUUUGUGGAUCUUCAAGGGCCUUGGAUACAGUCUCUUUCUGCAAGCACCUCUUACAGUAAGCAAUCAUCUUCGGACACUCGGCCUCUAUGUUGAAGUUUCCGAUGGUCUCAUAGGCAUAAAACCAGGAAUAGAAAGGAACAAGUGCUAUAUCAACGUAGCCGAUGGUCUCGCCCCCAAAGUAAGGCUUGUCUCCGAGCUCUCCUUCCAUCAACUUGAGGCUGUCAAUGAAGUCCUUCUUGGCUG